rnacentral:rRNA from 1 species
GACGAACGCUGGCGGCGUGCCUAACACAUGCAAGUCGAACGGAGAUAUGAUUUCGGUUGUAUCUUAGUGGCGAACGGGUGAGUAACGCGUGAGCAACCUGACUCUUAGAGGGGGAUAACACUCGGAAACGGGUGCUAAUACCGCAUAAGACCACGACAUGGCAUCAUGACGAGGUCAAAGGAGCAGUCCGCUGAGAGAGGGGCUCGCGUCCCAUUAGAUAGAUGGCGGGGUAACGGCCCACCAUGUCAACGACGGGUAGCCGAGCUGAGAGGCUGAUCGGCCACACGGGAGCUGAGACACGGUCCAGACUCCUACGGGAGGCAGCAGUGGGGAAUAUUGGGCAAUGGGCGCAAGCCUGACCCAGCAACGCCGCGUGAGGGAAGAAGGCUUUCGGGUUGUAAACCUCUGUCCUUGGUGACGAAACAAAUGACGGUAGCCAAGGAGGAAGCCCCGGCUAACUACGUGCCAGCCGCCGCAGUAAUAC